AUUGAACGCUCUCGGCAUGCUUUACACAUGCAAGUCGAACGGCAGCACAGGGAGCUUGCUCCCGGGUGGCGAGUGGCGCACGGGUGAGUAAUACAUCGGAACGUGUCCUGUUGUGGGGGAUAACUGCUCGAAAGGGUGGCUAAUACCGCAUGAGACCUGAGGGCGAAAGCGGGGGAUCGCAAGACCUCGCGCAAUUGGAGCGGCCGAUGCCCGAUUAGCUAGUUGGUGAGGUAAAGGCUCACCAAGGCGACGAUCGGUAGCUGGUCUGAGAGGACGACCAGUCACACUGGGACUGAGACACGGCCCAGACUCUUACGGGAGGCAGCAGUGGGGAAUUUUGGACAAUGGGGGCAACCCUGAUCCAGCCAUGCCGCGUGCAGGAUGAAGGCCUUCGGGUUGUAAACUGCUUUUGUCAGGGACGAAAAGGACCGUGUUAAUACCAUGGUCUGCUGACGGUACCUGAAGAAUAAGCACCGGCUAACUACGUGCCAGCAGCCGCGGUAAUACGUAGGGUGCAAGCGUUAAUCGGAAUUACUGGGCGUAAAGCGUGUGCAGGCGGUUCUGUAAGACAGAUGUGAAAUCCCCGGGCUCAACCUGGGAAUUGCAUUUGUGACUGCAGGACUAGAGUUCAUCAGAGGGGGGUGGAAUUCCAAGUGUAGCAGUGAAAUGCGUAGAUAUUUGGAAGAACACCAAUGGCGAAGGCAGCCCCCUGGGAUGCGACUGACGCUCAUGCACGAAAGCGUGNGGAGCAAACAGG
rnacentral:rRNA from 1 species